rnacentral:rRNA from 1 species
UACCUGCGGAGGGAUCAUUAAAAGCCUGCAAAACUCCCAAACC